CCAGCCAGUUCUGAUGCUGUGGACCUUGUUUUUUCCCCUUAGAUCUUGAUUUCAGUGAUGUUAGUUCUCAUUGGAACAAGUCAGGGGAGGUUCAAGCCCCAGGUGGUGUUAUGGUGCAGGCAGGAGCAGAGCGGCAGGAGCGUUUACAACAGAGAAAAUGAAGAGUGAGGAACAUCCUGUUGAAAAAUGUGCUACACUGAUUCAUCUUAAGGUCAGAAUUGCUGUACUAAGAAUUCAACCUUCAGAAGAGCUCCAUCUGGGCUCCUUAGAGGCACACAACAUGUUGACAAAUUGCUCUGCCACUUCCAAAGGAAAAAAAAAUAGCAAGCUGACAUCUUUUCUAUAGGUGCUUCCUUCACACUGGGACGGAGACUUUUCCAGAUUAGAAGGCAGAAAAAGACAACUUGGGAGGACAUGUUCAGUGAGUUAAUGCAUGUCUCUGAGAGUGAUAAGACGGAGCUCAGCACAUGGAGGAUUGCACUGUCCGACAGCCUGCACGCUGACCACAAGGACAGAAGAGCAGGCAGGGAACAUGAGCGUGACACACAGGACGAGAUGGUGCAGAUUAUGAGGGAGCAAACAGACAUGCUGAGGUAUCUGGUUGAGGUUCAAGAAAGGAAACUGGACACUAGAGUCCCGCUGCAGCCUGUGCUGAACCUUUGAUUGAUACUGCAGUGCAACUGUAAGCAAGUUGUCCUUGUUUCCCCCUUCACUGUGUUAUCAGCCCUUUUGCCCCAGGUUAUCUCACUUUUCUUUGUUGUCUCUCGGUGUUUGUGAACAUAAUAAAACUUAAUGGAUUGAGGAGAAAAGGCUCUU